AUAACUUUUAUAAAAAAGUUUAUUUUACAGGUCUCAAUGAGAUUUAAACCCCUUCUCUACAGUAAACAGCUGCCUUACGCACUCCUCUGCUGUGAAGGAUCCUCUCAUGUGAUCUCUUCAAUAUAAAAGAAUCUUCCUGAUUUACCUGAUGGAUAGAGCCCAGGACAAGAUGGCAGAGGAUAUAUUACAUCUCACCCUAGAGAUACUCUUCCAACUUACCGGAGAGGAUUACACAGUAGUGAAGAAGAUCUCUAGUGAACGCUGUCAGGCUCCUGAGUCUGAAGGAUGGGGAAGAACCUUGAGCCCAAUCACGGGGCCUCC